GACGAACGCUGGUGGCGUGCCUAAUACAUGCAAGUAGGACGCAGUUGCGAACGGGUGAGUAACGCGUAGGUAACUACCUAUUAGAGGGGGAUAACUAUUGGAAACGAUAGCUAAUACCGCAUACUAGUAGAUGGACCUGCGUUGUAUUAGCUAGUAGGUAGGGUAAUGGCCUACCUAGGCAACGAUACAUAGCCGAACGGAGAGGGGGAACGGCCAGACUGGGACUGAGAGACGGGCCAGACACCGACGGGAGGCAGCAGUAGGGAAUCUUCGGCAAUGGGGGGAACCAGUAACGAGGAACGCAGCGUGAGUGAAGAAGGUUUGCGGAUCGUAAAGCUCUGUUGUUAAGGAAGCGGUACUUAACCAGAAAGGGACGGCUAACUACGUGCCAGCCGCCGCGGUAAUUC
rnacentral:rRNA from 1 species